rnacentral:rRNA from 1 species
AUGCGUGAUCAGGUCGGCAUGGAACUGGACGGCUUCCCAAUUGACCACGAGUUUUCGAACGAAUACGGGCAAGAGGAAGAGGACGAGUGUUACAUCAAAGUGGAGCCUUUGUUUGAGGACGAGCUCGCCAACCAAGCCGUCGGGCCGAAGCCGAGAAAGCGCACGAAGGUAUACACGGCGGCCGAGGACAAGCUUCUUUGCGAGUGUUGGAGAGACAUUGGACAAGACCCCAAGACCGGCGCUGAACAAAAGCAUUCGACUUGUUGGAUUCAUGUCCACCGAGAGUUUCAUGAGCUUAAGAAGUUUCCUCCUUACCAAAUUGUGAUCACGCGUCGGUGGGUGUCCAUUUCGAAGCAAUGGAGAGUGAUCUAA